GCCAGGGCUGAACCCCCAAAGGAUAAGGAAGCCUGUGUGUGUACCAACAAUCAAAGCUACAUCUGUGACACAACAGGACACUGCUAUGGGCAGUCUCAGUGUUGUAACUACUACUAUGAACAUUGGUGGUUCUGGCUGGCAUGGACCAUCACCAUCAUCCUGAGCUGCUGCUGUGUCUGCCACCACAGCCAAGCCAGCCCUCAAGUCC
rnacentral:lncRNA from 1 species